rnacentral:tRNA from 1 species
UGGGCUGUGGCUCAGUGGUGGAGCGCUCACCUAGCAUGUGCGAUGCUCUGGGUUCAAUCCUCAGCACCCCAU